UAGACACACCGGUUCUCGUACGAUCACAAAAGUUAAGCAAUGUCGAGUCUGGUCAGUACCUAGAUGGGUGAUCGUUUGAAAAUACCAGGUCCUGUAAG